GAGUUUGAUCCUGGCUCAGAAUCAACGCUGGCGGCGCGCCUAACACAUGCAAGUCGAGCGAGAAAGGGAGCAAUCCUGAGUAAAGCGGCGCACGGGUGAGUAACACGUGGAUCAUCUACCCUUUGAUGGGGAAUAACCUUGGGAAACCGAGGCUAAUACCGCAUAAGUUCGAGAGAAGAAAGCCGAAAGGCGUCGAAGGAGGAGUCCGCGGCCGAUUAGCUAGUUGGUGAGGUAAAUGCUUACCAAGGCGACGAUCGGUAGCCGGCCUGAGAGGGCACACGGCCACACUGGCGCUGAAACACGGGCCAGACUCCUACGGGAGGCAGCAGUGGGGAAUCUUGCACAAUGGGGGAAACCCUGAUGCAGCGACGCCGCGUGAGCGAUGAAGCCCUUCGGGGUGUAAAGCUCUUUCGGCAGGGACGAUAAUGACGGUACCUGCAGAAGAAGCUGCGGCUAACUACGUGCCAGCAGCCGCGGUAAUACGUAGGCAGCAAGCGUUGUUCGGAAUUACUGGGCGUAAAGAGUGCGUAGGCGGUUUGGCAAGUUCGGUGUGAAAUCUCCCGGCUUAACUGGGAGGGUGCGCCGAAAACUACCAGACUAGAGUGUGGGAGAGAGGAAGUGGAAUUCCUGGUGUAGCGGUGAAAUGCGUAGACAUCAGGAGGAACACCUGCGGUGUAGACGGCUUCCUGGACCACUACUGACGCUGAGGCACGAAAGCGUGGGGAGCAAACAGGAUUAGGUACCCUGGUAGUCCACGCCCUAAACGAUGCGGACUUGGUGUUGGCCCUUCAUUGGGCCAGUGCCGCAGCUAACGCGGUAAGUCCGCCGCCUGGGGAGUACGGUCGCAAGAUUAAAACUCAAAGAAAUUGACGGGGGCCUGCACAAGCGGUGGAGUAUGUGGCUCAAUUCGAUGCAACGCGAAGAACCUUACCUGGCCUUGACAUGCAAGCAGUAGACCCAUGAAAGUGGGACGACCCCGCAAGGGGAGCUUGCACAGGUGCUGCAUGGCUGUCGUCAGCUCGUGUCGUGAGGUGUUGGGUUAAGUCCCGCAACGAGCGCAACCCUUAUUCGUAGUUGCCACCCGCAAGGGGGAACUCUACGAGGACUGCUCCGGAUAACGGAGAGGAAGGUGGGGAUGACGUCAAGUCAGCACGGCCUUUAUGUCCAGGGCUACACACGUGUUACAAUGCACGGUACAGACUGUUGCGAACCCGCGAGGGGGAGCUAAUCGGAUAAAACCGUGCUCAGUUCGGAUUGCAGUCUGCAACUCGACUGCAUGAAGCUGGAAUCGCUAGUAAUGGCGUAUCAGAUCGACGCCGUGAAUACGUUCCCGGGCCUUGUACACACCGCCCGUCACAUCACGAAAGUGAGUUGUACUAGAAGUCGCGCAGCUAACCGCAAGGGAGCACGCGCCCAAGGUAUGACCCAUGAUUGGGGUGAAGUCGUAACAAGGUAACCGU
rnacentral:rRNA from 1 species